GGUCUUCAAUUAUUUUGUGCUCCCAACCCAGGAGAGCGUUUGCUGCUCCUCCUAAUGGUCAACCCCCUUUUUAGUUGCUAGUUGGUGGCCUUUGUUGUUGGUCCAGUCCAGGAAACUCUCCUGCUAGCUGAAUACUAAUUCUAACUAGAAGCGUUUGCAGCUUUGGCAAUCAUGAGAACAUCACUUGGGGAUGGGAUCAAAGGUACAUACAAAUCCAUGUAAUAACUUCGAUUGCAAUAUCUGUUGCUCUUGAGUACUCAAUCAUUGAGCUUUGAUAAUCUGCUCCUGAAAUUCAAAUAAUCUUCUCCAAUCCCUUGUGAAUAUACGAGUCAAAUUUCUUAGCAGUUUUUACCAUCUCCUAACACUACACACUAAGCAGAAACCAAUCAAUUUUCACCUCUACGGGUCCAAAAACACAGAAAAAGAAGGAAGAUGACAAAUCUUCUGAAAAAAGAAAUGGAGUUUAGUCAGCUAGCUCGUCAUGCGAAAUAAGUCGUGCAACUUAUGAUCAUCGGUGGCGGCAGUCUCAGCGAUGGACCUCGCUGCCUUCUCCUCGACAACCGCCUUUACACGAGCCAUCGUCGGCCGGAGCCCUGGCUGCGCAGCCAGACACUCGACGGCGAUCUUCCCGAUGUCAAUGGCUUCCUCUGCAUCAUACCCGUUCCCCAACUGGCCAUCGACAAGCCCCUCCACCCCUACCGCCCUGACACGUGGCAGGAUCCUCGCCGUCAGGUACUCCCCGUCCCCGGCGGCCGGCGACCCCGUGACAGCCUCGAGCAGCAGCACGCCGAAGCUGUACACGUCAGACUUCUUGGACACGACGCCGGUGCGGAGGAAGAAGGGGUCGGCGUACCCCGGCGAGCCCACGGCGGCUAGUACUCAAUCAUUGAGUACUCAAUCAUUGAGCUUUGAUAAUCUCUGCUCCUGAAAUUCAGAUAAUCUUCUCCAAUCCCUUGUGAAUAUACGAGUCAAAUUUCUUAGCAGUUUUUACCAUCUCCUAACACUACACACUAAGCAGAAACCAAUCAAUUUUCAUCUCUAGGAGUCCAAAAACACAUAAAAAGAAGGAAGAUGACAAAUCUUCUGAAAAAAAGAAAUGGAGUUUAGUCAGCUAGCUCGUCAUGCGAAAUAAGUCAUGCAAACUUAUGACCAUCGCCGCCGGUCGUCGCGGCGAUAGACCUCGCCGCCUUCUCCUCGACGGACGCCCGCACCCGCGCCAUCGUCGGCCGGAGCCCUGGCUGCGCCGCCAAACACUCGACGGCGAUCUUCCCGAUGUCAAUGGCUUCCUCUGCAUCAUACCCGUUCCCCAACCCGCCAUCGACAAGCCCCUCCACCCCUACCGCCCUGACACGUGGCAGGAUCCUCGCCAUCAGGUACUC
rnacentral:lncRNA from 1 species